rnacentral:tRNA from 1 species
UUCCCUGUGGCUCAGUUGGUAGAGCAUGGUGUUUGCAAUGCCAGAGUUGUGGGUUCAAUUCCCACGGGGGACC